rnacentral:lncRNA from 1 species
AUGGAAGGAAGGAAGGGAAGGAGGGAGGGAGGGAGGGAGGGAGGGAAGGGAGAAUGGAGGAGAGCAGGCGUCCAUGCUGCAUCCUUGCUUUGUUCAGGGCGUUAUGCUGAGACUGUCUCUGGCUCAUCCUGUGGAGUUCAUGAAAGUGGCAGAUGCUCGGGAAGCUUACCCAGGACGCUGGGCUCCACCUUCUACCCAAAUGCAGGUCCCUCUCUUCACCCAGCCACCACCUCUGUCACAGUGUUUCUGAGUAACAGCGAGGACCAGGUGACUGCAUGCUACACACACUAGGGUGUGCACAGCCCGGUCCUGUGCAGGGAGGGCACAAAGCAGCAGAGCGUCUGCCACCCCCCUGCCACCUUUCCAAUGCUCCUACAAGAUUUGCAAGAACUGUUGUUUACCAGGAACCAUCUUUGGCGACAGGUACCUCAAGGCACACUGGUCCGCCCUGCAUGGGGCUGACCCUCAGGGUGGGCAGGGGGCACUAACCCGGCUUCUCUCCCGUUCCUCAAAGCUCCUUCCUCACCCGGGGUGAAUGGCUCCCAACCCCAGCACCUCAGGGUUCUUGCUGUUUCAUUUUUGCUGACAAAUGAUCACUGAGCAUCUCCCAUGCACAGGGACAGAGAAGACAGACACACUAGUCCCUGGAUGGGUAAGGAAGACUAGUCUAUCAGUGCAGAAAACUCCCCAUAGGGACAGAGGCUAGCAAGAAAACACCAGGAAAAGUGAGGGUGGAAGAUGGGGUGACGCUGUUGCAGAUGGGGUGCUCAGGGAGGGCUUCUCUGAGGAGGUGACAUUCACUUGAUUGGCAAAAGGGAUGGGCACAGACUGUGAAAGUCUUUUAUGAGGGGGAACUGCAGUGCCCAGCAAGGUGUCUCAGGAUGAAAAUAGGGCAGCAGGUGGGGGUGGGGGUGUAAGCCAGGCAGGGGCCAGACACUGUGUGAUGUGUGUAGGGGUGGGACCCACGGAGGCUCUGAGGAAGGCCAGGGCCUCAGAAAAUAUGGGAACAGGUGGACCUACCUGGAGGCCUGCACCCAGACAGGGGGCCAGAGCCAAAUGUACCACACCGCCCACCUGGGGCUUCCCCUGGGCCUCGCUUUCUCUCC